GGCUUCGUAGCUCAGCUGUUAGAGUAGGUUACCGCAUUCGGUCCGGUGUUUCUGUCGUUUGUUCGAAUCCAGCCGAAGCCC